rnacentral:rRNA from 1 species
UACGGGGGGGGUAAGCGUUGUUCGGAAUUACUGGGCGUAAAGGGCUCGUAGGCGGCCAACUAAGUCGGACGUGAAAUCCCUCAGCUUAACUGGGGAACUGCGUCCGAUACUGGAUGGCUUGGAUUUGGGAGAGGGAUGCGGAAUUCCAGGUGUAGCGGUGAAAUGCGUAGAUAUCUGGAGGAACACCUGAGGCGAAGGCGGGCUACUGGGCCGAUACUGACGCUGAUGCGCGAAAGCCAGGGGAGCGAACGGG